rnacentral:rRNA from 1 species
AGAGUUUGAUCCUGGCUCAGGGUGAACGCUGGCGGCGCGCUUAAUGCAUGCAAGUCGAGCGUACCUCCCGGCUUCGGCCGGGUAGGGAAGCGGCAGACGGCUGAGUAACGCGUGAGUAAUCUACCCUUCGGUGGGGUACAGCCCCGAGAAAUCGAGGUUAAUCCCGCAUACGAUCCCUUGGCCCUGGUUGAGGGAUGAAAGCCUCCGGGCGCCGAAGGAGGAGCUCGCGUCCUAUCAGGUAGUUGGUGGGGUAAUGGCCUACCAAGCCGAUGACGGGUAGCUGGUCUGAGAGGACGACCAGCCAGAAGGGGACUGAGACACGGCCCCUACUCCUACGGGAGGCAGCAGCAGGGAAUCUUGGGCAAUGGGCGAAAGCCUGACCCAGCGACGUCGCGUGGGGGAAGAAGGCCUUAGGGCUGUAAACCCCUUUUCCAAGGGAAGAGGAAGGACGGUACCUUGGGAAUAAGCUCCGGCUAACUACGUGCCAGCAGCCGCGGUAACACGUAGGGGGCGAGCGUUGUCCGGAUUUAUUGGGCGUAAAGAGCUCGUAGGCGGUUCAGUAAGUCGGGUGUGAAAACUCAAGGCUCAACCUUGAGACGCCACUCGAUACUGCUGUGACUUGAGUCCGGUAGAGGAGUGUGGAAUUCCUGGUGUAGCGGUGAAAUGCGCAGAUAUCAGGAGGAACACCAGCGGCGAAGGCGCCGCUCUGGGCCGUAACUGACGCUGAGGAGCGAAAGCAUGGGUAGCAAACAGGAUUAGAUACCCUGGUAGUCCAUGCCGUAAACGUUGGGCACUAGGUAUGGGAUCUUAUCAAUGGAUUCCGUGCCGUAGCUAACGCAUUAAGUGCCCCGCCUGGGGAGUACGGCCGCAAGGCUAAAACUCAAAGGAAUUGACGGGGGCCCGCACAAGCGGCGGAGCAUGUUGCUUAAUUCGAGGCAACGCGAAGAACCUUACCUGGGUUUGACA